UAUCCUGGAAGCCCUGACCAGCCUCGUCCGCAGCCAUUUUCUACCUCGCUUUUGCCUUCGCGCUUGCCGUGCGGCCCGCACUUAAUAAGAAGGGCGCUCGCUAGGAUGGACCAGCGAGGUAGUAACUGCAUUUAGCGAUGCGUGACCGUGGCCCACGUUCAGCAGGAAGGGCGGCCUUGUGAGUCAGGCAUUGAGGUUGGAGCCUAAUGUGAUUAGCCUGCGACGCAGAAAGAGAAGGCCCGCUAGUGACGCCAUCUCUCUCGGACUAAGGGGAAUUCUGUGGGAGGUUGUCGCGGGAAUGGAUGGGGGCUGCGGCCCGGUUGAGGGGUGCGCGGAGGAAACUUCCAGGUGAAGGCAGCGCCCAACUGCCACCCUCCUUCUCCUUGAUGGUCAGCGAGUUCUGGCUCCAGCUCUCGUACACCCACUCUGUCUCAGGGGAAACCCGCAUCCAGAUGACUUGGGUUUUUGGCAAGGUGUAACGUCGCCAGAUCUCCGGCAAUAUGUCUGUUGGGCUUAGGACAUCGAGCUUCCCUGCCUGGAAGCGACAUAUCCUGGAUGAACUGAAGCGACGAGACCAGUUACAAAGACAGGCCUUUGAAGAGAUAAUCUUGCAAUAUAACAAGCUCCUGGAGAAGUCAGAUUUCCAUUCAGUGCUGGCUGACAAGCUACAAGUGGAAAAGUAUGAUUUGCCAAACCGGCAUGAGAUCAGCCCAGGACAUGAUGGUGCAAGAAAUGAUGCUCAUCUUCAAGAAGUAGCUCAAUUAAGGAUUAAACAUCAAGAGGAGUUGACAGAGCUGCACAAGAAACGGGGCGAGUUGGCCCAAUCUGUGAUUGAUUUAAACAAUCAAAUACAACAGAAGGACAGAGAAAUACAAACAAAUAAUGUCAAAAUUGCAGAGUAUUUACAGAAGAUAUCUGAACUGGAAACAGAGUGCCAUGAUUUGUACAACAAGCUUCAAGAUCUCGAACGAGCUAAUCAGACUCUUAAGGAUGAAUAUGAUGCUCUUCAAAUCACCUUUACUGCUCUUGAAGAAAAAUUGAGAAGAACCACUGAAGAUAACCAAGAAUUGGUAACCCGUUGGAUGGCAGAAAAGGCUCAAGAAGCUAAUCGGCUCAAUGCAGAAAAUGAGAAGGAUUUAAGGAGAAGGCAAGCUAGGCUUCAGAAAGAACUAGCAGAAGCUGCUAAAGAACCACUGCCAAUUGAACAGGAUGAUGAUAUUGAAGUACUCACAGAUGAAACCUCCGAUCCAGCUGAGGAGACAUCUCCAGUUCGGGCUGUCACCCGGACAACAAGUAAGCGACUCUCCCAGCCCACUGGAGGCCUUCUGGAUUCUAUCACUAAUAUCUUUGGGAGGCGUUCUUUGUCCUCAUGUGCUAUCCCUCAAGAUAGUACCGAUGUACAUCCUACUGCAAGCAAAGAGGUCCGAGUCCCCAACACAGCAUUGUGUGUCUUUGAUGCUCAUGAUGGGGAGGUUAAUGCAGUCCAGUUCAGCCCUGGCUCUCGUUUAUUAGCAACAGGAGGCUCAGACCGGAAAGUCAAAAUUUGGGAGGUUUUUGGUGAUAAUUGUGAAUUGAAAGCCGCCCUAUCUGGCAGUAAUGCAGGAAUUACUAGUGUAGAGUUUGAUAGUGCUGGUUCUUAUUUAUUAGCGGCUUCAAAUGACUAUGCCAGUAGGAUCUGGACAGUGGAUGAUCAUCGGUUACGGCACACGCUCACGGGGCAUAGUGGAAAAGUUUUAUCAGCCAAAUUCCUUCUGGACAAAGCUCGCAUUGUAUCUGGGAGUCAUGACAGAACCCUCAAGCUAUGGGACCUGCGCAGCAAAGUCUGUACAAAGACGGUGUUUGCUGGCUCCAGCUGCAAUGAUCUUGUCUGCACAGAACAGUGUGUAAUGAGUGGACACUUUGAUAAGAAAAUUCGCUUUUGGGAUAUUAGAACUGAAUGUGUGGUACGGGAAGUGGAAUUACUGGGUAGGAUUACAGCUCUAGAUCUCAACCCUGAGAGAACAGAGCUUAUUACUUGUUCUCGGGAUGAUCUGUUGAAAAUUAUAGAUCUCAGAAGCAACACUGUCAAACAGACAUUCAGUGCUCCAGGAUUUAAAUGUGGGUCUGAUUCGACUAGAGUUGUAUUCAGCCCUGAUGGAAAUUAUGUUGUGGCUGGCUCAGCAGAUGGAUCACUGUAUAUAUGGAAUGUGCUCACUGGAAAAGUGGAGAGGACACUUUCCAAGCAUCACAGCAAUCCUAUCAAUGCUGUGGCAUGGUCACCAUCUGGAGCCCACGUGGUCAGUGUGGAUAAAGGAAACAAGGCUGUGCUGUGGUCUGAAUUUUGACCUAAAAGUGCAAACACUAGCUUGCCAAAAAAAACCCAAAACAAAACACAUGGGAAGGCAAUGAUCUGUUUCUGCCUACAGAGGGCAGAAGUCCCAUAUCUGGCUCCCACCCAAGUUUAUUUGCUGAGUGCAUAAGUUUGCCUUUAGCAAAGAAUUAUUGAUGCAUCCAUGAGGAAGAAAAGCAGAUCCUGAUUACAGUAUGUUGCUGCUGUCUAACUUUCAUAAAGAUUUGGGUGUAGAAUUGGUCAUUUUUAAAAUGUACCAUCUGCACACUGAAAAGGUUCUCACACCAGAUAGCAGUGCUCCUGAAACAAUAUUCUAUGGCAUUUCACUUUUGAGUGCUGUAGCAAAAGUUCCUGUAUGUUCUGACUUUUUGCAUGUAUUCACACAUGUGUCUUCUUCUCUGAGCUAGCUAAGAUACAAAGUGAAGGAUCCUAAGGCAUAGAAUGGUGGAGUCUGAAGUGUAAGCUUAUUUGAGUAAGUCCAUGAAUUUGGCAGUGGCAUCUACAGGACCUCUAGUACUUAGCAAACCACAGCUUCUUGUAUCAGCUUGAUUAAUGGCAGGCAGAAUUGGCUGAAAAACAGACGUAUCCUCCAAAGGUUAUCCAGGUAGCAGUGAUACAGAAGCAUUUUAAUUUGACCCAGUACAUUUUGGGUUUUAAUUGUGAGAUAGAGCAAGAGGUUCUGUUGUAAUGAAGAAUGUAUGAUUAGCAUGACUUCAGCACAAAAACCAAAUACACAGCAACUUCUGCUAUCCAGCAGUUUUGUAUUGAGGGCAAAGGACACGAAAGGAAAUAAACACCUGAAGCUGAAUGUCCUGGUGCUGGCAAAUCCGUAUCAUUUGCCUCUGACUUAAAUGUGCAAUAUUCUUUCUGUGUUGGAGCUCUCUCUUUCUCUGCCAUGGAACAGGCUUGGGGGCCUGUAACCUUUGGUGGUUAAAUGCACAAUAUGGUUUGAGGAGAAUUAAUUUGUGGCAUUGAACAUUCAUCCAGCCAAAUACUUUUCCACAUUCAGUGGGCUGUGAUACAAGCCACCAGCGUUAAAUUGCCUUUUAAUUUGCACUUUAAUUUUUCUUCCUUCCACAACUUGUUUUGUAUUGCUUGUAUUGGAGGGCAGGUGAGCAGGAUUCUUUUGGGUGUGGGGUCUCAUUAGAAGACCCCUUCAUUUUAACAACUUAUGCAGAGAAAAAUGGAAAGUACAUGGGACAAACUUUAUUUAUUGUACUAAUCUGUCCAUUAGUACUUGACUGAUUAUAAAUAAACCAGUAUCCUGCUUCUAAUUCUGCAUUGCUUUUCCUUAUUUUUUUUAAUCUGCUUUGGGUACAGACAUAGGGAUGAGAAGAGAGAAGCAGUUUGAAGAGAAGACUAAAGGCUCUCUAUAAAGUUGCAACUGCAAAUAUACUUGCAAAACCUACAGUGGGAUGCUGGGGCAGAGGGAAGAAGGCAUCUGUAAAAAAGGGCCAGCAGUACUGUGGGGACAAUAAGAAACAGUAUUGAAAAUGGACGUGCCAAUAUUGUAAUGCCCUUACAUUAAUCAGUAGUGUGACUGCACUACUGUUCUGGUUGCUGCACCUCAAAAAGGAUAUAGUGGAGCUGGAAGUGGUUCAUAGGACUAAGAUGAUCGAGGUGCUGGAAAGUCUUAACAUUACUUCCAACUUGGCUUGCCCUGUGCCUUUCUAAACCCUUUGGUGAUGCUUUCCUGAUGAAAGGCUUGCUAAACUGGAUAUUUCCACAUACUUCAUAUAAAUGAAUGGGAGCACAGCGGAACCAGUUGUAAACAUACCUGAUGAUUUUAAAAGAGUGCCAUCCAUAAUAGAGGGUUAAACAUGAAAUCUGAUCGGUGUAAACAUAGUUGGGGCAAUGGCUUCUGUAGGCUCCCACAAUAUUACUUUUGUGUGUUUUCAAUUUAAAACAUUGUCUUUCUUUAACAUGCAGCUUCAGGAGGAGAAUAGAGAAAUAUGUUGGUUUUUCUCAUUUAGCCAAAGGAUUUUUUAAAAUGUUAUUUUACAUUUGUUCAGAUGAACCAUGCUACUACUGAGCAAUGAAGUUUAGUGAGUUAGAGGUGUUGUUCUCCUCCCAGAGCAGAAAUCUUUAUUUUGUAGUCUGCCUAAACCUUAUAGGGCAUCCCAGAUCUCCUUCAAAAGUUGUCACUGGAUUAUAAUUGUUAAGAUGACAGCUGGAGAAAAUUAUGAAAUCCUUGGAAAGUAAUUACAGUUAUUUAUUCAAUCAAAAUUUGCUUUAUCUUGACCUGACUCCCAAAAUGUGCAACUUCUUGUCCUAGAGUAAAAGAACGCUCUUUGGUUCUUUAUCUUUUAGUGUUAGUAGCUGCUUUUUCCAAGUUAUCCCAUAGUGUGCUAUGAAAACUAAUAACAUCUAUAAUGUGAAACUUAAUGGUCUUAGGAGGGGGACAUUGACAUUUAAUAGCAUUUCAUGAACAUAUAUUGCUCUGGACCGUGCUUUAGUCAUAAGAACUGCAGCAUUUUCAUGUCUCUCCAGAAAGAAAUCCUGAGAAUUCUGUCUUGAGUUUCUUCAUAUACAUGGUAACUGAUAUAAUUUUAGUACUAGUCAAACUUUUGCAUCUGUUUGAAAUAAUUUAAUGCCUUAUAUGCCAAAAAUGUUUUGGCAUGUAUGCCUGGCAAAGAAAAGAGAUGUCUUCCAUAUGCCCCACUGACCUCAAGAAUAUAUGCCCAUGACAGAUUCUGAUGCUGAAUCAGUGAGAUGAAGGCUUAUCCAAGAUUAUGCUUAGUCUCCAUAGAAGAACACUGUAGGUGUUGUGUAAUACGUGAGUUUACACAACUCAUGUAUUACACAAUGUUUAGUCAGAUGCCCUGAAUGAUACAAAACAACACAAGUGCUUUUCAUGAAAUACAAAAUCCACAGCGUGGCAAUAUUUUCUAGGAGCAAUGAAAAUGCUAUAAAAAAGGUGCAAGCUUUUUAGUUCCCCAAGACAGACUAGGUGUUGCAAAAUAAUGAAGAAAGCAUGUCUUCUUCGUUCUUAUAGUUUUCAUUAUUACAGUUUAAGUUUGCUCUGAAAUUUAAAAUUCCAACAAAUAUUCAAUUAUACAUUACAUCAUAGGGAAAAGAAACAUUGAUACCAAUAAUUAUGGAAUCAUGAUUCUAUAGCUCAGUUUGUCUUCUCUUAGGUAAAUGCUGAGAGCAAAAGUAAAGAACAUACACAUAUUUGCUCCCAAAAUGGUAACUCAAUAUACCAGCUGCACUGGCUCCAAAUUGGCUUCCGGGUGCAACGCAAGGUGUUGGUUGUCGCCUUUAAAGCCUUGCAUGGCAUAGGAUGGGUUACGUGAGAGAUUGCUUUUCUCCAGGGUAUGUGCCUGCCCCACACACUCUGAUAGGGAGAGUGCACUUCAGGGCCUUUAAUUGAAACUGCCAUCUUGUGGGAGCCAGAAGAUGCUCCUUUUUGGUGAAGGCCCCUGUCUUAUAGAAUGACCUUCCUCCUGACGUAUGAUUGGCCCAGACCCUGCUGGUUUCUCUAGGUUGCUGGUUGACCCUGCCCAGACCUGGCUGUUUCUCUGGACCUUUGCUUUGUGAAGUACUGUACUGGAGUCCCAGAUGGUGUUAAAGGCUGUUUGGAUUGCUAUUUUAUUAUUUUAUUGCUUCAUUACUUUCUGUAGGUACAUGUAUUGUGGUUUUGUAUUCUUUUAGUUAGGUUUUAUUGAUUUUUUUUAAGAGUCCCUUGGUUGAGUUGGGCAAUCAUAUAAAUGUUUUAAAUAAAUAAAUACCAUUGCUAGUUGCUAAGAAGCAAUGACUUAAGUCAUUAAGUCUUUUUUGGGAGAAAUUAAAAUUGCAGCUAUUGAGUAUAACUGAUGUUUUUGUUGUUGUUCAGCCACAUUAUGGUUGAAUUAUAGCUUGUUUAAAGUACUAUAAACAAUCUUGGAAUAAAAUGUUGAUGCAAAAGAUUUUCCCCUGAGCUCUUCCUAUCCAUUGUAAUGUCUGUGCAUUGAAGAUGCUUUAAAGUAGCAUAUAUAAUUGCUACUUUAGCACAUUUAUUCCAUUUUUCAGUAUACAACAAGUUGUCAGUAAUAAAGAAGCAAUCUGUGUCUUUCUCUUUUGUUUAAUUGUUAGGGUUGUUUUAACUUCAUAACACAUUAUUUGAACUUUCAUUACAUAUUUGUUUCAUUUCCCACACCUGGAAUAUAAUAAGUAACCAUAUUAAGAGGUACACAAGCAGUCAUGCAUAUAUACCCCUGUACUAUGUUGUCCAAGAAAAAGAGGAAAAUUGAUUUUCUUGUACAAACCUAUGCAUACAUUUUAGCAAACUUUAUGUGACUG